rnacentral:rRNA from 1 species
CCUACGGGUGGCAGCAGUGGGGAAUAUUGCGCAAUGGGCGAAAGCCUGACGCAGCGAUGCCGCGUGAAGGAUGAAGGUCUUAGGAUCGUAAAACUCUGUCAGCAGGGAAGAACGGCCACUGUGCUAAUCAGCAGUGAAUUUACGGUACCUGCACAGGAAGCACAGGCUAACUCCGUCCCCGAAGCCGCGGUAAUACGGCGGGUGCGUGCGUUAAUCGGAAUUACUGGUGGUAAAGCGCUCGUAGGCGGUAUGUCAAGUCAAGGGUGACAUCCCCGCGCUCAACGUGGGAACUGCCUUUGAAACUGUCAAACUAGAGUGUGGGAGAGGAUAGUGGAAU